ACCAGUUUUGUAGCCCAUGGAUCAGCGCAGCUAAGAGGAAUAGGCCUUGACAGAGCCAGGAGGUAGGCAUAGCAGCCACAGGAAUUUAGUGACAGCUAGCAUGCUGGGUAGGGGGGAGCCAUAAGGGGAGUAUUUAUACCAGCCAUUAUAGGAAGUGGCCAUUUUAACUGAACCUAAGCUUACCUGUCAGUUGUGAAAGCUGCCUGCCCUGGAGGGAGAAGGCAGCAUGGAGGCAGCAUAGCAGAACAGGCAGCAUGGAGGCAGCAUGAAGAACAGGCAGUACUGAGACAGGAGACAGCAUGGAG